ensembl:lncRNA EAF1-AS1 EAF1 antisense RNA 1
GGACUGGUUCUGAUGCUUUCACCAGUAACAGAAGCUCAAGCUGUGCUCAACUGACCCCCAAGGAUCCAGCCUGUCUCUGGGAUUCUCUAGGCCGUCCCGGAACUCCUACCAUGACCAGGGAAGUGUAGGGUUGGGGUUUGGCCCUAGACCUCUUAUCUGUCCACCUGCAAAGCCGUUUUAGUAACAGAUUUGGAAGCAAAGUAAGGUUUUUGAUGGCAGCUUGGUCACCAGCACUUCACUUAGGAACCAGUGCUGGGGAAGCGGAUGGGACAAUUUCUGAGUGUCUCCUGGGACAGACACAUAGGCCAUCGCUCCGCUAGGGGCAUGGAGGGUAUGUGUGGGUCAAAUUGCUAAAUAAUCUCCAAAGCUCAUUACAAUUAAUGGGCCGACCUAUUCCCCAAUGCCUGCUUUACUGGAAUUGUUCGGCCCCAUCCUUCCCCCACAGUAGAGUGAGCCAAUUUAAAUUUUCAAUGCAGUUCUUCAGCACUUGUGUGAUGAUAAUCAGCUUACAGGUCAAGGACCUUGGCAAUUCACCAAGGAGAUUGUUACAUUUGAGCAAUUCACCAUUACAAUCCAUGGGCCCAGAGGUUCCAGGAGCCUGCUUCCAGCCACCUCCACCAGGAUGCCAGGCAUGGUCUCGCCAUGUUGCCCAGGCUGGUCUCAAACUCCUGGACUCAAGCAAUCCUCCCACCUCAGCCUCCCAAAGUGCUGGGAUUACAGGCAUGAGUCACCACAGCCAGCCCAGUACCUGCUUUUAAGGAGCUCAUACCGACCAGAGUUCAAGCAAAAAAAAAAAAAAAAAAAAAAGGUCUACUUAAACUUUGAAAGAUGAGAUUGUUCAAAAAUGACACGAGAAAAUCACCCAUCACCACUAAGUUAAAGACUUGAAUAUGUGAGAGUUCCAGAGCCUCAAACUCCUACUACAGUCACU